rnacentral:lncRNA from 1 species
CUUUCCCUGCCAUCUGAAUUCUGUCUAGGCUUCCAAGUCUUUGUAUGUGCUAUUUGCUCUUUGGGAAAAUGCUUGUUCUCACACCUCAUCCAUCUCAAACCUUCUUGUUGUCCUUUAAGAAUCAACUCAAGUACUCCCUCUGUUCUCAUUUGGAACAGUUUUCUACCUCCAAAUAUUAGUAUAUGCUAUCAUGCUAUGCCUAUGAUACAGGAUCACAGAUUUCCUUUUCGGUAUUGGGUAGGAUUGACUAGGGGGUAAUAAAUAACUCCUAAAUUUCAUGUGACUUGCCACAACAAAGCUUUUCUUCUUUCACGUUUCCAUGUCCCACAUGAAUUUGCAAGAGGCUUUGUUGCACGUGGUCUCUCAGAACCUCAGGCUGUUGGAAGUUCCAUCAUCUUGUAGCUGCUCCCAGUGGCAAAGAGCAACCAAAGAACUACAUGCCCCAGUGUGUGAUGUUCCCGUCCCUGCGUCCAAGGGUUCUUAUUGUUCAACUACCACUUAUGAGUGAGAACAUGUGGUGUUUGGUUUUCUGCUCCUGUGUUAGUUUGCUGAGAGUGAUGGUUUCCAGCUUCAUCCACGUCCCUGCAAAAGACAUGAAGUCAUUCUUUUUUAUGGCUGCAUAGUAUUCCAUGGUGUAUAUGUGCCACAUUUUGUUUAUCCAGUCUAUCAUUGAUGAGCAUUUGGGUUGGUUCCAUGUCUUUGCUAUAGUGAAUAGUGC